GGUUAAGCGACUAAGCGUACACGGUGGAUGCCCUGGCAGUCAGAGGCGAUGAAGGACGUGCUAAUCUGCGAUAAGCGUCGGUAAGGUGAUAUGAACCGUUAUAACCGGCGAUUUCCGAAUGGGGAAACCCAGUGUGUUUCGACACACUAUCAUUAACUGAAUCCAUAGGUUAAUGAGGCGAACCGGGGGAACUGAAACAUCUAAGUACCCCGAGGAAAAGAAAUCAACCGAGAUUCCCCCAGUAGCGGCGAGCGAACGGGGAGCAGCCCAGAGCCUGAAUCAGUGUGUGUGUUAGUGGAAGCGUCUGGAAAGGCGCGCGAUACAGGGUGACAGCCCCGUACACAAAAAUGCACAUGCUGUGAGCUCGAUGAGUAGGGCGGGACACGUGGUAUCCUGUCUGAAUAUGGGGGGACCAUCCUCCAAGGCUAAAUACUCCUGACUGACCGAUAGUGAACCAGUACCGUGAGGGAAAGGCGAAAAGAACCCCGGCGAGGGGAGUGAAAAAGAACCUGAAACCGUGUACGUACAAGCAGUGGGAGCACGCUUAGGCGUGUGACUGCGUACCUUUUGUAUAAUGGGUCAGCGACUUAUAUUCUGUAGCAAGGUUAACCGAAUAGGGGAGCCGAAGGGAAACCGAGUCUUAACUGGGCGUUAAGUUGCAGGGUAUAGACCCGAAACCCGGUGAUCUAGCCAUGGGCAGGUUGAAGGUUGGGUAACACUAACUGGAGGACCGAACCGACUAAUGUUGAAAAAUUAGCGGAUGACUUGUGGCUGGGGGUGAAAGGCCAAUCAAACCGGGAGAUAGCUGGUUCUCCCCGAAAGCUAUUUAGGUAGCGCCUCGUGAAUUCAUCUCCGGGGGUAGAGCACUGUUUCGGCAAGGGGGUCAUCCCGACUUACCAACCCGAUGCAAACUGCGAAUACCGGAGAAUGUUAUCACGGGAGACACACGGCGGGUGCUAACGUCCGUCGUGAAGAGGGAAACAACCCAGACCGCCAGCUAAGGUCCCAAAGUCAUGGUUAAGUGGGAAACGAUGUGGGAAGGCCCAGACAGCCAGGAUGUUGGCUUAGAAGCAGCCAUCAUUUAAAGAAAGCGUAAUAGCUCACUGGUCGAGUCGGCCUGCGCGGAAGAUGUAACGGGGCUAAACCAUGCACCGAAGCUGCGGCAGCGACGCUGAUGCGUUGUUGGGUAGGGGAGCGUUCUGUAAGCCUGCGAAGGUGUGCUGUGAGGCAUGCUGGAGGUAUCAGAAGUGCGAAUGCUGACAUAAGUAACGAUAAAGCGGGUGAAAAGCCCGCUCGCCGGAAGACCAAGGGUUCCUGUCCAACGUUAAUCGGGGCAGGGUGAGUCGACCCCUAAGGCGAGGCCGAAAGGCGUAGUCGAUGGGAAACAGGUUAAUAUUCCUGUACUUGGUGUUACUGCGAAGGGGGGACGGAGAAGGCUAUGUUGGCCGGGCGACGGUUGUCCCGGUUUAAGCGUGUAGGCUGGUUUUCCAGGCAAAUCCGGAAAAUCAAGGCUGAGGCGUGAUGACGAGGUACUACGGUGCUGAAGCAACAAAUGCCCUGCUUCCAGGAAAAGCCUCUAAGCAUCAGGUAACAUCAAAUCGUACCCCAAACCGACACAGGUGGUCAGGUAGAGAAUACCAAGGCGCUUGAGAGAACUCGGGUGAAGGAACUAGGCAAAAUGGUGCCGUAACUUCGGGAGAAGGCACGCUGAUAUGUAGGUGAAGUCCCUUGCGGAUGGAGCUGAAAUCAGUCGAAGAUACCAGCUGGCUGCAACUGUUUAUUAAAAACACAGCACUGUGCAAACACGAAAGUGGACGUAUACGGUGUGACGCCUGCCCGGUGCCGGAAGGUUAAUUGAUGGGGUCAGCGCAAGCGAAGCUCUUGAUCGAAGCCCCGGUAAACGGCGGCCGUAACUAUAACGGUCCUAAGGUAGCGAAAUUCCUUGUCGGGUAAGUUCCGACCUGCACGAAUGGCGUAAUGAUGGCCAGGCUGUCUCCACCCGAGACUCAGUGAAAUUGAACUCGCUGUGAAGAUGCAGUGUACCCGCGGCAAGACGGAAAGACCCCGUGAACCUUUACUAUAGCUUGACACUGAACAUUGAGCCUUGAUGUGUAGGAUAGGUGGGAGGCUUUGAAGUGUGGACGCCAGUCUGCAUGGAGCCGACCUUGAAAUACCACCCUUUAAUGUUUGAUGUUCUAACGUGGACCCGUGAUCCGGGUUGCGGACAGUGUCUGGUGGGUAGUUUGACUGGGGCGGUCUCCUCCUAAAGAGUAACGGAGGAGCACGAAGGUUGGCUAAUCCUGGUCGGACAUCAGGAGGUUAGUGCAAUGGCAUAAGCCAGCUUGACUGCGAGCGUGACGGCGCGAGCAGGUGCGAAAGCAGGUCAUAGUGAUCCGGUGGUUCUGAAUGGAAGGGCCAUCGCUCAACGGAUAAAAGGUACUCCGGGGAUAACAGGCUGAUACCGCCCAAGAGUUCAUAUCGACGGCGGUGUUUGGCACCUCGAUGUCGGCUCAUCACAUCCUGGGGCUGAAGUAGGUCCCAAGGGUAUGGCUGUUCGCCAUUUAAAGUGGUACGCGAGCUGGGUUUAGAACGUCGUGAGACAGUUCGGUCCCUAUCUGCCGUGGGCGCUGGAGAACUGAGGGGGGCUGCUCCUAGUACGAGAGGACCGGAGUGGACGCAUCACUGGUGUUCGGGUUGUCAUGCCAAUGGCACUGCCCGGUAGCUAAAUGCGGAAGAGAUAAGUGCUGAAAGCAUCUAAGCACGAAACUUGCCCCGAGAUGAGUUCUCCCUGACCCUUUAAGGGUCCUGAAGGAACGUUGAAGACGACGACGUUGAUAGGCCGGGUGUGUAAGCGCAGCGAUGCGUUGAGCUAACCGGUACUAAUGAACCGUGAGGCUUAACCUU
rnacentral:rRNA from 1 species